GAUGAAGAACGCAGUGAAAUGCGAUAAGUAGUGUGAAUUGCAGAAUUCAGUGAAUCAUCGAAUCUUUGAACGCACAUUGCGCCCUAUGGUAUUCCGUAGGGCAUGCCUGUUCGAGCGUCAUUCAAACCUUCAAGCUCUGCUUGGUGUUGGGCGUCUGUCCUGCCUCACGGCGCGGACUCGCCUCAAAUCUAUUGGCGGCCGGCACGUUGGCUUCGAGCGCAGCAGAAACGCGAACUCGAGACCGGCGGAUCGGCUCCCAGAAGCUACCCCCAUGAAUUUGACCUCGGAUCAGGUAGGGAUACCCGCUGAACUUAAGCAUAUCAAUAAGCGGAGGA
rnacentral:misc_RNA from 1 species